AUGCUCACUUCAACAGCACGUAUACUAAGAUUGAAAUGAUACAGGGAAGAUUAGCAUGGCUCCAGCACAAGGGUGACAUGCAAAUUCAUGAAGCAUUCUAUAUUUUA